GCGUCUGUAGCUCAGUUGGUUAGAGCACCACCUUGACAUGGUGGGGGUCGUUGGUUCGAGUCCAUUCAGACGCACCA
rnacentral:tRNA from 2 species